AGUGUAGGUGGCUCAUUAAGUCACAUGUGAAAUCCCCGGGCUUAACCUGGGAACUGCAUGUGAUACUGGUGGUGCUAGAAUAUGUGAGAGGGAAGUAGAAUUCCAGGUGUAGCGGUGAAAUGCGUAGAGAUCUGGAGGAAUACCGAUGGCGAAGGCAGCUUCCUGGCAUAAUAUUGACACUGAGAUUCGAAAGCGUGGGUAGCAAACA
rnacentral:rRNA from 1 species